UACGGAGGGUGCAAGCGUUGUUCGGAAUUAUUGGGCGUAAAGCGCGUGCAGGCGGUUCGUUAAGUCUGAUGUGAAAGCCCUGGGCUCAACCCAGGAAGUGCAUUGGAAACUGGCGAACUUGAGUAUGGGAGAGGGAAGUGGAAUUCCGAGUGUAGGGGUGAAAUCCGUAGAUAUUCGGAGGAACACCAGUGGCGAAGGCGGCUUCCCGGACCAAUACUGACGCUGAGACGCGAAAGCGUGGGGAGCAAACAGG
rnacentral:rRNA from 1 species